CAUGCCACUUGGCUUCCUCAUUUCUACCCAGUGGGAAAUGAGAAAUAUUAAACUAGAGAAGCCUGAGUCUCUGGUAUCUGAGCUAACAUCAGACAUAGAGGGCAGUGUUGAGAUGCUUAAAUGAAAACAAAGGGACUCAGAGAAGGCUUGCAUACGGAACAGUCAGACUCCUCUCAGCCUUUUCUGCUGCAGGUCCCAGAAUGCCAGCAGCCAGACUUACACUGUCCAGGCAGGAGAGGGGAGGACCUUCCACUGGAGACACUGAACUGCCCAAGUGAAAAAGAUCUACAAACACUGACAUAAAGAGGUCACCUAUCAAAAAGAUGAGCAUACCAGGGAAGAAAAUACAGAAAGAGGAGGAAGAAGGGUGCCAAACACAAUGUCUUAUUUUGGAAUUUGUCCUUCUUGGCCCUAAUGAUGGUCAGAAGGCUGCUAUGAAGCAAAUUCAGGGACUGGGCCUGUGCCUUGAGAACUCUGCAAAGUCAUAAAUGUCAAGAGUUGAGAAAUCUCCACAAAGUAUGCCAAAUUCCUG